rnacentral:rRNA from 1 species
UACGAAGGGUGCUAGCGUUGUUAGGAAUCACUGGGCGUAAAGCGCGCGUAGGCGGCUUAUCAAGUCAGAGGUGAAAUCCCCAGGCUCAACCUGGGAAUUGCCUUUGAAACUGCUAGGCUAGAGUGUCGGAGGGGAUGGCGGAAUUGCUAAUGUAGAGGUGAAAUUCGUAGAUAUUAGCAGGAACACCGGUGGCGAAGGCGGCCAUCUGGACGACAACUGACGCUGAGGCGCGAAAGCGUGGGGAUCAAACAGG